AGCGAACGCUGGCGGCAGGCCUAACACAUGCAAGUCGAACGGACCCUUCGGGGUUAGUGGCGGACGGGUGAGUAACACGUGGGAACGUGCCCUUUGGUUCGGACUAGCUCCUGGAAACGGGUGGUAAUGCCGAAUGUGCCCUUCGGGGGAAAGAUUUAUCGCCAUUGGUGCGGCCCGCGUCUGAUUAGCUAGUUGGUGAGGUAAAGGCUCACCAAGGCUACGAUCAGUAGCUGGUCUGAGAGGAUGAUCAGCCACAUUGGGACUGAGACACGGCCCAAACUCCUACGGGAGGCAGCAGUGGGGAAUCUUGCGCAAUGGGCGAAAGCCUGACGCAGCCAUGCCGCGUGAAUGAUGAAGGUCUUAGGAUUGUAAAAUUCUUUCACCGGGGACGAUAAUGACGGUACCCGGAGAAGAAGCCCCGGCUAACUUCGUGCCAGCCGCCGCCGUAAUAC
rnacentral:rRNA from 1 species